rnacentral:rRNA from 1 species
GACGAACGCUGGCGGCGUGCUUAACACAUGCAAGUCGAACGAAGUGGCGAACGGGUGAGUAACGCGUAAUCAACCUGCCCUUCAGAGGGGGACAACAGUUGGAAACGACUGCUAAUACCGCAUACUGAAGGAGGGGAUUGCGUGUGAUUAGCUGGUUGGAGGGGUAACGGCCCACCAAGGCGAUGAUCAUUAGGCGGUCGUAGAGGAUGAACGGGCAAAAUGGGACUGAGACACAGCCCAGACGCCUACGGGAGGCAGCAGUGGGGAAACUUCCGCAAUGGACGAAAGUCUGACGGAGCAACGCCGCGUGAGUGAUGACGGCCUUCGGGUUGUAAAGCUCUGUUAAUCGGGACGCGGUACCUGAAUAGAAAGCCACGGCUAACUACGUGCCAGCCGCCGCGGUAAUUC